GUUAGUGUAUUCCACUCGUUCAUAAUUGCAUUAAUUAAUGCCCAACUCCAGUCGACAACGAUAACUGAGAAUAAUGGCCAGCUAAAACGUUUAGUUCGCAAAAAUGUUUCUUUGUUAAUUACUAACGAAUGGCUGGCCAUCUACACCUAAUAUUUUAGGUAUGUACGCAGGGCACUCCCCCUACAAAUAGUAAAAAGUUGAUCUAAAUCCGAGAGCAACAUCAUGCGGCCUCUCCUACUAUUUCAAAAACAGAAAAAAAAUUUGAUCGAAAGAAAUUCUUGAAUUAUAAAAGGAUAUGGAAUAACAAUCAGGGAAAUAUACGAAGUAUUGUACUAAAUGUAUUACAAUCUCGAUCCAAAGAUACAACGAAUAUUAUGACAAAAUCUGUACAUGAAGAGACUACUUCAAAACGUUGUAAUGAAACGUUACACAAAAUAAAUUAUGAACCGUUACACAAUAGUUUAGCUACACCACAGCGAUGUACUGUAAGAUCGACGCGUAAAUUACUUUUUAAUGAAAAUGACAUGGAAAAGUUGACUGAUAUUGAUAUGCAAUGCGAAAGUACCAUAGAUUGCGUGAAUAAUAGUGAUAAUACAUUUAGCAGUAAAGGUGACAAUAGUGACAGUUCUAUACAAUUUCAUAAAAAAAAUGACAAGAAAAAGUUGACUGAUGUUGAUAUGCAAUGCGAAAAUAACAUAGAUUGCCGAUCGUCAAAUAUCUUUAGUAAUGUGCAAUACUUGUCGACGUUGGGCACAUCAAUUGUGUCUCAAAAGGAAAUUCAAUGAUACAACAAACUGGACAGAUCCAAAUGCAAAGUAUAGAUGCUUAUUGUGUGCCAAAGGUUCG